rnacentral:rRNA from 1 species
CAGUAGCCGCGGUAACACGGAGGGUGCAAGCGUUAAUCGGAAUUACUGGGCGUAAAGCGCACGCAGGCGGUUUGUUAAGUCAGAUGUGAAAUCCCCGAGCUUAACUUGGGAACUGCAUUUGAAACUGGCAAGCUAGAGUCUUGUAGAGGGGGGUAGAAUUCCAGGUGUAGCGGUGGAAUGCGUAGAGAUCUGGAGGAAUACCGGUGGCGAAGGCGGCCCCCUGGACAAAGACUGACGCUCAGGUGCGAAAGCGUGGGGAGCAAACAGGAUUAGAUACCCCUGUAGUCCCUGUCUCUUAUAC